rnacentral:tRNA from 1 species
UUGUAGGAUAGUAGGUAAUCCAUUGGCCUUAGGAGCCAACACCCCUGGUGCAACCCCAGAUAAAAGC